UACAGAGACUGCAAGCGUUAUUCGGAUUCACUGGGCGUAAAGGGUGCGCAGGCGGCCAAGUGUGUGAGGCGUGAAAGCCCGGGGCUUAACCCCGGAAUUGCACCUCAAACUACAUGGCUAGAGCAUUGGAGAGGGUAGCGGAAUUCACGGGUGUAGCAGUGAAAUGCGUAGAUAUCGUGAGGAACACCAGAGGCGAAGGCGGCUACCUGGACAAUUGCUGACGCUCAGGCACGAAAGCGUGGGAGCAAAGGG
rnacentral:rRNA from 1 species